rnacentral:rRNA from 1 species
UACGUAGGGGGCUAGCGUUGUCCGGAAUCAUUGGGCGUAAAGAGCGUGUAGGCGGUCCGGUAAGUCCGUUGUGAAAGUCAGGGGCUCAACCCUCGAAUGCCGGUGGAUACUGUCGAACUAGAGUGCGGAAGAGGCGAGUGGAAUUCCUGGUGUAGCGGUGAAAUGCGCAGAUAUCAGGAGGAACACCAAUUGCGAAGGCAGCUCGCUGGGACGUAACUGACGCUGAGACGCGAAAGCGUGGGGAGCAAACAGG